GAUGAACGCUAGCGGCAGGCCUAACACAUGCAAGUCGAGGGAGAAGCCCUUUCGGGGGCAGAAACCGGCGCACGGGUGCGUAACGCGUAUGCAACCUACCUUUCACAGGGGGAUAGCCCGAAGAAAUUUGGUUUAAUACCCCAUAAUAUUAUUGGAUGGCAUCAUUUGAUAAUUAAAACUGCGGUGGUGAAAGAUGGGCAUGCGUCCUAUUAGCUAGUUGGAGUGGUAACGGCACCCCAAGGCUACGAUAGGUAGGGGUCCUGAGAGGGAGAUCCCCCACACUGGUACUGAGACAGGGACCAGACUCCUACGGGAGGCAGCAGUGAGGAAUAUUGGUCAAUGGUCGGAAGACUGAACCAGCCAUGCCGCGUGCAGGAAGAAUGCCUUAUGGGUUGUAAACUGCUUUUAUAUGGGAAGAAUAAGGCGUACGUGUACGUUGAUGACGGUACCAUAUGAAUAAGCAUCGGCUAACUCCGUG
rnacentral:rRNA from 1 species